rnacentral:lncRNA from 1 species
GCAUUUGACACUUAGCACAGAUGCAGCCUACAUCGCUUCUGACUGGCCAGCUAAGGAUAUGAGCUACUACAUCCCUGUGGAGGCUCCAUUAAUUCACCAGCUCCACUCACAAAGCCCACUUAUAUAUGUUUAUAGGUGGUAAAAAGAAUGUAUUUUAAAGGAUGAAAAUUAAUAGUCAAGUGAGGAGAGAGAUAUACCAGGUAAAGUCCAGAAAAGUCUUGAAGGUCUAUCCCAGUGGAGUCUAGGGACUCAAUCUCCUGCUUCAUGAUGAUCUGUGAUUUACCUUCCUGUAUGCCUCUCUAUUUCUUUAGCUGUCCAGAAGGCUCCCCAGAGCCUAUCAGUUGAGCUUUUAUGGGGACUUACUGCAUCAGCAUGACUGAAGCAUGGACAGCCAUGGGACUACAGAGCUCAGGGAAUGACUGCGAGAAUAAAGUGGUUUCCCCACAAGCAUGAGGACAAGAUUCCAGAUCCCCAGAGCAUACGUAAAGUGUCCAAUGGGCAUAUCAAUCCAUCUAUAAUCCAGCCUUGGGAGGUAGAUAUUCAAUAACGGUAAUAUCCUUAUUGCUGAGCUCUGUGUUUGAGUGGGAGACAUGCCAGGAUUGAAUACAAUAGAAGCACAAGAGAGAAUAGUUCCCAACAUAAAAUCCAGGCCUUCACAUGUACAUAUAAGUACACAUGUAUACCCACACACGAAAACUCUCUCUGUCUCUCUUACACAGGCACACACGCGCGCACACACACACACACACACACACACACACACACACACAUGCUGGAGUAUGUGCACAUACAGAAAGAGGGGGAGAGAUAAAGAGAAGGAUACAAGAAAAUAAAUGAGGGUCAGGAAAAUAAAAAUGGGUCAGAAAUAUAAGGCUAACAGAGUAGGUAGUAAACUCAGCAAACCCUCCAGUUUCUUCUUGGGCUCACUAUGUUGCUUCCUUUGUUCCUAGAUAUAUGGUAGAACUCCAGAGCAGGAGGCCCCAUGAUGUUAUCAGGCAAGAUAUUUCAAAGCCUUUCCUGGCACCCUGUUCCAAAACAAAGAUGGGUACUUCUGGGAGCUCACAGAAUUUCUACUUUGUAGGUCCUGCCUUGGAGAAGGGAUUAUGAGCAAUGGUGCAUGAGUAAAACCUAAAAUAUAUUUCCAAUGUAAAACAUCCAAACCCAAGUGUCCUAAAAUCAGGAACCACCAGGCUUUCUUCCAGAUAUAGCUUUUCUUCUAGAGUGGGAUGUGCGUGAGCAAAGGACUGGCUCUGACCUGUCCACUGCUGACUUCCUGUGUUUUUACUCAGAUCCUUGUAUUCAAUGGAUAAAAGACUCGUGAUGAAUCCCGCUGGGUGGGUGAAUGAACAGAAUUCAUCUAAUGAAACUUCUCCUGACCCUGAUCUUGUCGUCCAUCAACCAUGCUACCCAACAACCAAAGCUGGCAACUGUGCUUCACUGAUGCCAGAAUCAUCAAAGAGCUUAGCUGGCCCCUGCUGUCUAAGUGUCAAGCCACUCUAAUCUAGAACUGACUUCCUAGAGCAGCUAAAACGCAGGUUCUCCCAUCUCUAAUUGUUCCUUAUUGUGUUCUGCGUCCUUUACCUCUAGGAAGUAUUCUUCAUGGUUUUCUCCCAGCUGCUUCUUUUCAUUCUAUAUUUUCUCCUGAAUAUCAUCUAGUCUCAUAAGUAAAACGUAAAUCUGGGCCAUUAGCACCAUCAUUGCCUCUAACUACAAGGUCUCAUGUUUAGUUCCAUGAGAGAUAGCUGUCCUACUAAAGUAGUGAACUAUUUCUGAAAUCAAAUUUGUCAUACUCCUCUGUAACCUUUUUCAUUAAUAUAUUUUUUUCUAAUGAAGAAGGCAUUGUAUAGAGCUGAUUUUUACCCAGAUUUUUAAUAUCAUAGUGAAUUCAAAGUCCCCACUCUUCCUUGCCAUAAUACUUGCUGGUUUCUGACCAUGUCUUUGGUGUCAAGUAUUUCUCCUCCGUAAUCAUCCUCAGUUGGAUCAUUCUUUAAGCCCUGAACAAGCUAUUCUAACAGAGCAUCUCACUCUCAAUAUGCAUCAAUUUCCCUAGAACACACAUUUAAUUCUGUCUUUUUUUGUCCU